UGGAAGUUGUGUGUUUGUUGCUGCAUUCUUUUUCGUCUGGAGAUAAACUAUUAAACUACUCUCUGAUCUAUGCAUUUGUUUUUAUGCAGCUCAAAGAGAGAAGAUAAGUGAAGCUAAUCAAGGCUCCAAACAAGGACAGCAGCUGCAGUGUCAGAAAAUGCCAUAGUUCUGAGUUUUAAAUCGAGGGUUUAAAGCAGAACAGCAGCUACAGUCAUGUUUAUGCCUUCUUUCAUUGCUUGGAUUAUAUAUAAUUGAAAUGAUGAAUAACUGAAUCAAUGUAUUGUGUAGGUUGGAGCUGCGUUUUCCAUGGUUUACAUAUUUGGAGCUUCGGUCAUGUUUGUUGGGUGUGAGCAGUGCUACACACACCUCAAAAAGUUGAAUGUAAAAUCAAUUGUGAAGACCCCUUUGGUUAGAAUGCUUAGGUUAGAAUGUUUUUGUUCUUUUAAUGUUGGUUUGGAUGAUUGGGAAAUGCUCCUUUUUUACAUUUGAAGUUUAUAGUAUGAGUUCGAUUAAUCAUUUGAUGUUUGCAAUCAGUUUUGUUUCCAAUUGAUCAA